ensembl:lncRNA
GCACAAACAGGUUGCCACCUUAAGAAGGGACAUUGGAUUUGGAUCAUUUUAAAAUGCUCAAUAAUACCACCCCCUUGCCCUCAGAACAGUCUCAAUUCGUCUGGGCAUGAACUCUACAAGGUGUCGAAGGUGUUCCACAUGGAUGCUGGCUCAUGUUGACUCCAAUGCUUCCCACAGUUGUGUCAAGUUGGUUGGAUGUUCUUUGGGUGGUAUUAAAAACCCAGCAGCGUUGCAGUUCUUGAUAGGGCAUUGGGACCACCAUGAGCCGCCAGAACAGCUUCAUUACACCUUGGCAUGUAUUCUACAAGUGUCUGGAACUUCCUGUGUGGAAGCACCUGCGUUCAAUAUACUUUGUAUCCC